UAAAAUGUCAAAUCGACAUUUGACGUUUAAAUUUAGGUCCUAUCUCUGGAAAAUCUGUAAGUCAUAGACAAUAUUCAUAGAUAAUAAUCUGUAAAUUUAAUCGAUUUUAUUUCAAGUAUUCAAUUAUUUCAAUUACCAAUUACUUUGAUAAUAUUAAUUUAAAAUAAAAUAUAAACGAGGUUAUAUAUUCAACAAUGUAUUUUUUCUUCAUUGAAUGCAACAACACAGUUUGCGAAGAAGUCUUUGAAAUUCAGCUUUAUUAUACAGACGAGUGUCACAUAAAAAGGCCUUUCGACCACUUUUCGACUGGUUUACGAUUUUAUUGUGCACUUUGUCUAGACCCACAGUAUAAUUUAAAUUUAUUUCCUAAACAAAUAAAAAAGGGAAAAUUAAAUUUUCUUUGAUUAAGAAGAUCCUAUUUUGACGAUCACAUUACUGAUCUCAAUAUCAAUCAGAAGAGGGAUUGAUCUUAAUAAUUAUACAAACGAUCUUUAAAAAUCUAAUAAUCGUCUGUUGCAGUCCGUAAAUGACAUUUACAGAAUUGCGAUAAUCGAGAGAUUUUGUCGCAUCACUAGUAGAUCAACUGACAUAGACUAAAAAUUCGUCAAUGUCAGUUGGCCAUAUUUGUUUACAUUUAGGGAAAUUUCUAAAGAACUAAGGUAUACCAUGAGUUCAUCUCAAAUCGUUAGCAUGUGGGCAGACCUCCCACUAGGUGGACCGACGAUCUGGUGAAGGUCGUGGGAAGAACCUGGAUGCGGGCACAUUGUGGAGAUCCUUGGGGGAGGGAGAGGAUGCUGCGUUUCCCAGAGAUAUGCGAGGGAAUUGUGUCGUGCGAAGAUGUCUAGCUGUGCUGUGAAAAUGUGUGCGGGUUUCCACCAAAGCUGUGCGAGGAAAAUGUAUCGUACGAGAUGUGUAGCAGAGAUUUGAAAAUGCUCAUUAGUGUUGUACAGCCUGAGCCUUUUCUACCAGAGAUGUGCUGACCGAGGCGAGGUAAAUGAAGCGAUUCUAUUGGUUCUUUACAAACACAUCCUUCGCUACGCAUCCUCGCACAUCUCUGGUGGAAACGCAGCCUUACGAGAUCAUGAUAGAAAGCUAAUCCGACAAUGAAUAUGUAUUUUCAUAAGUUGAAAUUUACUUUUGUUUUUAAUCAGUCUGUGUAUUAUGUACCUAUUAGGUUUUGUGAAAUAAAUAGUCAAUAAAAAUUAA